rnacentral:snRNA from 1 species
AUCACUUCUCAGCCUUUUGGCUAAGAUUAAGUGUAGUAUCUGUCCUUAUCAGUUUAAUACACAAGCAUAAGACAGUAAGGGGUUUACAUUACUUUGAGCCAUCAGUUGCUCAUCUAGAGGAAAACCCCAU